GUACUGAUGAAGAGUCCCAAACUAGGACGAAACGAUUGGCCGUCCAGUAC
rnacentral:hammerhead_ribozyme from 1 species